CACUGGGCACAGGAGUCCAUUCACAGGCUCUGGCAGAUGCCUACGUAGAUCUUCUUUUUUUCCAGGCCUUGGCUCUCAACCAAGGCAGGAAUAUCCCUUCAAAGGAAUCUGAAAAAAAUCCAUUUCUUAGCCAGUGAUAAAGGAGGCAAAUAGUUCUUACCAGUCCCAGAGAUGGUGGAAUUCAUCUCAUAUUCUUCUUCAUCUGCAAUGCUCAAAAAAAACCAAAACCCUGAUGAUCUGAUUUUGAUGGAGUACUCCACCAUGACUGCUAAUUGUUUUCCCAUUAGUCCUUGCUUUUGAAAGUAAAGCUGGAUUUUGUUGAAAUAGCUCUGAAAAUCUAUCAGGGUUAAGAGAUCUGGCUUGCUAGCAGAAGGAAGGUGCAGAGAAAUAGAUGAUGGGUAUGUGCUAACUUUUCAGAUUAUUGGAAAAUAUCCCAGUGAAGUUAUCUUGUCCCUGCUGCACACACAGGCUCUGAAUAUUGCUUGUCUUUGCCUGGCAGCAAGAGAGAGCAGCAGCAGCAUCUGUUGGCAGCAGAGGGGAUGCAGCCAUGAGGGAUGGGUACUCACUGUCCCAGGGACCUUCUCAUUCUGUUUUCUUCACAUAAGUCUAAAAUUAUCCAGUUCUAAUUGAUGGAAAGAACAGAGAGUUUGAAAAGCUGCGUCUUAUUAAGAAACUUUAUUCUGCUUUUUCUUAGAGUUAAUAAGCUGCUGCCCUAACCAAGGCAGGUGGAGAAAGGUUUCUGUGAGUAGGAGAGACAAAAAGGUGUGUCAGAAGAGGAUUAGUUGGAGCAGAGCCUGCCUCCGAGCAAGACAGAGGGCGAGGCGACCUUGCAAAGCCUGUCUGGGCCAUUUUCUAGAGCUCUGGGAGGAAGACUGUAAAGGCAGCAGUGACACAGGAGAGCUGUGUUCAGAGUGGAAAUUAAUUUGGCUGUAAUGCCUGCUGUUGCUGCUGCUUACACAGCAACAAACUGUUUUAGGAUUUCAAGGCUGUCUAGCCUUGAAAUCCUAAAAUCCCCCAGCUGUCCCCAGCCUAGGGAGCAUGAGCAAGUCAAAUGGAGGUUUUUUCAUGCCAGGAGGGCCCUUUCUCUGUGCCUACUGGGAAGUGUAGUUCAGAGCCUGCAUGGCCAUUUCAGAGCAGCAUUUGCUCCCUCUGGUUAGCAGAGCCUGAGGUUUGAGAGGAAGGAAUGUUGUGGGGCAAGGUUGGGAUGACUCCUUGGGUUCAUUUGCUCCUGGCUUCAGUUGACCAUCCCUCUCUGGAGUGUGGGAUCAUGAGCUAUUCCCUCUUUGCUAGGAUGUCUGAGGGGAAGAGCUUCAGGAUGUCCUCUCUAGGAUGCUGUUCUGCAACCCCAACAGAGAAAGACAAUCUCGGUGGUGAGGGCCUUGCCAAAUCCUGCCCACAGUAGAAACAAGGGCGGGCACAAGCAAACAGGAGACAUGGCUGGAAAUAAGGCAUGUGGACAAAGGUUGUCCUGAACAGGGAGUGUCCAGGGCUGCUACCCUGAGCUUAUGCUUGCCUGCCCCACUGGGUCAGGGCCAGAGUUAUGAGCUUAGCUCACCCUUCCCCGGGGAAAGGCUCACGCUGACACACCAUGGAAACAAAAGUGAAAACAGUGCUUUAAACACUGCAGACUAGGCUAGAACAGGGCAGGGCAAGCAGGGGCCAUUUGGGGUUCAAAUGUUGCAGAAAAGCUCAAAAACUGCAAUAGAAGAGGAGGGAAGGAAGGACCUGGCCAACCACUCACAGACGCUGCAUGCAACCAGCUAUGUAACCCUGGCAAAGCCAGCAAACAUCCAGCAUCUGGCAAAAAAUAAAACCCCCAAACCAGUGGGUUUGCACACUCUUAAGUCUGGGGCAUUAUCUUGAAGAACAUGAGACUGGAUGGGUUUGGGGGUGUUUCAUCAAAAAUGGAGACUUUGAACUUUCUGCAUUUCUUCCCAUGGCUUUUUUUACUUCCACCAAAGUUUUCUUUCUUUCAGCAAGGAGAUGUGAGUUCCAUCCAGACUGCACCUCCCCAUUUUCCUUCUCAAAAUAAUAACAGCCUCAUUUGCUAAAGGCACUAUAAGGAUAUUAAGUGAAAAUGAAUUAAGUUUAAUUCAAUUGUUAUUUUAGGAGCUUUGCCUCGUCAGGGUUUUGCAAAGCUUCAUUCUUCCUCUUGCUGAAGACCAGCUUUAACACGCCCCUGCUGAGAUGUUGCUGCAAGCCACGAACCCAUCACGCUGGGAGUUUUAUUUAAUGCUUAGGGUUGGAUUUUAUUUUGCUUAAAUGUCAGAGUCUGUCUGCCAUGCUGCUGGGGGAGAGGGAAGAACCAGAGACUGGUUAGCUCCAGUCCAUCAUAUGUAGCUUAGAAAUAAAAUUAAUUGUCUGGCUGGUGAUUUCUCAGGCAAAACCCAGCACUUCUUUGUCCGGAAAGCACCACAUCACUACUGCCCUGCUUCAGAGAGGCUUCACCUGCUCAUUGCAUCAGGUCUCAUCUGGAUCUUCUCCACCUGCUGCUUCUCCAAUCUUUUGAUCACCAGCACAUGAGGGUGGAAGCUGCCGGGUUGGGAAGAGCUGGGGAAGGAUUAGUUUGCAUCUGCAGAGCAUUCAUUUCACCUGCUCUUUGCUCUUUGGAUUGGCUUUAAAUGCAAUGCAAAAGCACCAAACUGCAUUGGGGUCUGCCCUGGUCAGGAACUGCUCCCUCACCCCCAGUGAGGCAUCAAUUCUACCCAAGACAGGGAGAAGCUUUGAAAAGGGGGAAAAGAAAAGAGAAGGCAGAGACAGAGAGACCUGAAUUAUCCUAGGGCUGAUGACCAUGGCUUGGCUACGUGGGCAGGCAGGCUGCUGCAUGCCUGUAACCACCUGGCAUUUAGAGAAAAUUCACAGUCCUGCACAGGACUGGGGCAUGAGGGAGAAUAUGACCCUGAGGGAUGAGAAGAAGAGAGCCUCAGACUCCCCCAAAGCCCAGCAAAAGGACAUUUCAGAGGAGCCGUCAGCUCCUGUGGCUUGUACAGUGGAGCUGUAAGAUCCAGCACACACCUCCUCCCUCUCAUCUCUGGUUUCUAUAGCAGAGGAGCAGGAGGGAGGACAAGACCCCCAAGAUAAAAACCCAUACAGAGUGCUGGGCCAGCUCAGUGUCAGCACCAGCAAGCAGAAGGAGGGAGCACUCAGAGCAGGGUUCUCCCAGCCCCUAACCUUGCUGAGAGCCAGCACCCAGGAUUUAUGGAAGAAAAGCUUGGAAGUGACCUCUGAUCCACUCCAGCACCAAGCGCGGACUCGGAUGGCGUUACAGCUUGAUGUACAGCCAGCGGGUCUGCCGGGCAGUCUCCUGUGAGCGAUGGCUUGCGAUAUUUCUGGAGUUUAUACCUAGCUCUCCAGCUCGAUGGGCUUUCUGGCUAUGAUUUGUGCCGUGUGUAGCUCUAUAAAUAUUGAGCUCAGAGAAUUAUAUAUGGCGACAGCCCUACAGCACUCCCGGUGAUAUAUCCCUGCGUUUGUGGUUGUAGGCGAAUAAUUUUAGUUUGAGUGGUGUGGCAAUGAGAACAAGGAGGAAGUAAAAUAAAAGGGUAAUUCGAGUCCAAGUGAAUGGCAGGGAGCAUGCGUGAGGCAUCAAAGCCUCUCCUACCAAUCACUCAGGGAAUUGACAGCCAGGAUAAUUUCCCAAAUUGGUUACCUUAUCCCUGAGUGCUGCUGUCUGCAAAAUUAAGAUAACUCACCACUUUGCUGAAAGGAUGUUUGUAAGAGGGCAAGGAAGGAGCAGGGGACAAGACUAGCACUCCAAGGACAGGGUCAGACCCUCCCUGCUAGGGCAUUCCUCAGGUUGGAGCCCUGGGAGAACCUUGGCUUUAGCACCAGACUCUCAUCACUCAAUUCCCUGGAAAGCUGCAGCAGAACUGUCCUGGGAAAUCCUCAUGACAAUCAGCUUGCAGACCACCAUGCAAUAUCGGGACAGAGGUCUUUUUCUGCUGUAAAUGUGAGUAUUGCUUAACUGAUUUGGGAUUGCUGCAGUCUGAGUGUUGCUUCCCCAUCUGUGUAUCCCACAGCAUUCCCUUCCUCUGGCCAAGAGAUGGGCAAAGGGGUCUCAGAUCUGUGCAGUCAUUUAUCCCAUUCAGACAGAUACCAUCAGGGCCUCAGAACAAAAUUCUUAAUGGGAUGUGGAAAUGGCCAAAUGCCAUUUCUCCAGAAAAAAAUUGAGGCCAGGUUUCAUUCCAUUUCCCAUUUACUGUAAUGCUUCAAGAUGAUCAGGUGCUUGUGUCCAUGCUAGGCUGGCCAUGCAGGUGAGUUCUCUAAACCUGGCUGAUAGGUUCAGAAAAGCCAGCUUAAACUAGCAAAAUUAAUAAUUUGCAUCUUGGUGUCAGAUGGGACCCUCUGACAUCAUCCCUCAGCCCUGCACUCCCCCGCUGCUGGUGACAGGGAGUACCUGGGUGACUGAGCUCUGUGUCCCUAGAUAAGAAAACUGAGGAAUUAAUCUUCAAUUAUGAAAUAGCACUGCAGGUCUCGGCUGGACAGAGAGAGAAGGGUCACCUGUGAGGACCCAUCCAGGACAUCCAUCACUCAAGUGUUGGCCAGUGUGAAAACCACCUCCAGAUCCCCAUUCCAGUCUGGCUGGGCUGCUGUCAGCUCUCCUCUGGCCCAGGGAAAUCCCAUUUUGGGCCGUGAGGAGAACACAGACAGGAAGGACAGAGUUGCAGUCUAGGAAAGACAGACAGUUAACCGCAGCGCCAGACCAGCGGGUUCACAUUCUUUACAGGCAGAGAGAGAACGAGUUUUCUCAAGCUUUGCUCCCUCCUGCUCGAAAACCAGAGCAUGGGCUCGUCAUUUCUGCUCAUUUUAUUUUUGUGUCGAAAGCAGAAAGGCAAAGAACGGCUGAGCUGGGGGUACAAAUCGUCAUAUUAAUAACUGGAAGCACAUAUGCAGAUAUCAAAAACACCUUCUGCCACUAAACCAAUUUUAAAAAUGAAUCCAAGAGAAAUAUUUUAAGAGAAAACUCCUCCGGAAUCAAUUUUCCAUGGACAAGAAAGGCCAGGCAACUGUUUUUCUGGUUCCAAUAUGUUUCUCUGUGUUCUCAUACACGUUGGACUGCAGAACGGGAAAAUCCUGCAGCACCACAAAUUCUCAUCGCAGUCCCACAGCAGCGAGUUUGGAUGAAGCAGGCUGUUCCUGUGCUCCCUUAGCAAACUCCCCAGCAAUGCUGUGCCCAGAGCACCCAGCCUUGAGGAGCACUGUCCCCCACGAGGUAUCGGAGG